rnacentral:rRNA from 1 species
CGUAGGUAACCUGCCUUGUAGCGGGGGAUAACUAUUGGAAACGAUAGCUAAUACCGCAUAACAAUGGAUGACACAUGUCAUUUAUUUGAAAAGGGGCAAUUGCUCCACUACAAGAUGGACCUGCGUUGUAUUAGCUAGUAGGUGAGGUAAUGGCUCACCUAGGCGACGAUACAUAGCCGACCUGAGAGGGUGAUCGGCCACAUUGGGACUGAGACACGGCCCAA